CCUACGGGUAGCAGCAGUGGGGAAUAUUGCACAAUGGGGGAAACCCUGAUGCAGCGACGCCGCGUGAACGAAGAAGUUAUUCGUAAUGUAAAGUUCUUUUAACAGGGAAGAAAGAGAAAUUUGACGGUACCUGAAGAAUAAGCUCCGGCUAACUACGUGCCAGCAGUCGCGGUAAUACGUAGGGAGCGAGCGUUAUCCGUAAUUAUUGGGCGUAAAGGGUGCGUAGAUGGAAUAGUAAGUCUUUUGUAAAAAUGCUGGGCUCAACCCAGUAGGGCAAAAGAUAAUGGAAAUCUAGAGUAUGACAGAGGCAAGUGGAACUACUUGUGUAGCGGUAAAAUGCGUAAAUAUAUGUCAGAACACCAGUGGCGAAGGCGGCUUGCUGGGUCGAUACUGACAUUGAGGCACGAAAGCGUGGGGAGCAAACAGGAUUAGAUACCCCAGUAGUC
rnacentral:rRNA from 1 species